CACAUUUAUGAAGCCUGGAAUGAGGCGGAGCUAAUGCUAAACUAAACAGGAGGGCUGGGGUUAGCACAGUCACAUGACCUCACGGCCAGAGCCAAUCAGGCUCC